UUCUCGAUUUCUUUUUCUUCUUCUUCCUCGAUUCUGAUCCUUAUGCAAAAUAAAAGAAAUUUAUCUCUCUAUCUCUCUCCUCGGAGAAAGUAUAGUGGAGCAAGAGAUGGUCUCUGUUUUCUUCCGCAGAGUUACAAAAAACACAGUCCGAACUGAGUUGCAUUCCCCAACUAGUAAGCCCCAUUUUGACAGGUAGUCUGUCAAUGUUUGCAAUCCAAAAGGUAAAGGCAUGUUUUGGGACAGAAUGCUGCCUUCUCCCAGAACUUUUCUUUUAGAAGGGCGAAGCUGAUCGCAAGUUAGCUUUAUUAAGAAGCUGUUGUAAUUAACAUUGUUCCAUUUACAUUUUAUUUAUAUAAGAAAAAAUAGUAGACUUAUACCUGUAAAAUGGAUAUGGCUCAGUGAAAAGGUGUUUGUAAGGACUAAUUUAAUUA
rnacentral:sRNA from 1 species